rnacentral:misc_RNA from 1 species
GAUGAAGAACGCAGCGAAAUGCGAUAAGUAAUGUGAAUUGCAGAAUUCAGUGAAUCAUCGAAUCUUUGAACGCACAUUGCGCCCACUAGUAUUCUGGUGGGCAUGCCUGUUCGAGCGUCAUUUCAACCCUUAAGCCCCUGUUGCUUAGCGUUGGGAGCCUACUGGAACUCUCCUGUAGCUCUCCAAAGUCAGUGGCGGAGCCGGUUCGCACUCCAGACGUAGUAGCUUUUACAUAUCGCCUGUAGCUUGGACCCGGUCCCCUGCCGUAAAACACCCCAAAUCUUCUAGGUUGACCUCGGAUCAGGUAGGAAUACCCGCUGAACUUAAGCAUAUCAAUAAGCGGAGGA